rnacentral:lncRNA from 1 species
AUGACUACUGGAAAAACCAUAGCCUUAACUAGACGGACCUUUGUUGACAAAGUAAUGUUUUUUAAUAUGGGAAGGAAACCCCCACGUGACACCACAGCCCAGUGACAGCCACCUCCUCCACCAGAGCCCUGGAUGCCACACACAGGAGAGAAAGGCCCCUCUGAGGAAGACUUUGGUGCCCAUUCCUCAGCUCUGUGCCUCAGCAUCCUGGCCUUAUGUUGAGAGUCAAUGGCCAGAUGGUCUGUUUUCAGCAUGAGUUAGUUCCCUCCCGUCCUUCUGGGGGUGUGGUAGGUGCCUGUGCUGGGGUCUCUGGCCCCACCACAGGCAACUCAGGGGACUCGGAGGGAGACCUCUUAAGUGACUUUCCUGGUCAGGAAGGCUCCCCAUUUUCUUCCUUCCCCUCCACUCCCCACUGCAGUUCCCACCCCUUCCAGCAGAAGCUGACUUUCCCCGUUUCUCAGUGGUUUGUCCACAGCCCACGCCCCUCUGAGGAAGACUUUGGUGCCCAUUCCUCAGCUCUGUGCCUCAGCAUCCUGGCCUUAUGUUGAGAGUCAAUGGCCAGAUGGUCUGUUUUCAGCAUGAGUUAGUUCC